UCUGCAUACGUUGAGGUUUGUGGUGAUAUAAUCAAUGGGUCUUUUGGUAUUUUUGGUGCAAAUGGUUUUUCAAACAUUUUGUUUAGAUUAGUGCUUGUAUAUUGUUUCCUAACUGUUUUGCUUGUACCUGCAGCUGCAUUGAAACAAUCAUUAUGGAUUUUUUGGAGUAUCCCAACGUCUCCUUUUAGCUCUGGAUGUUUAGUGUCUUCCGAUUGACAUAUCUCUGGAUGUUUAUAGUCAUGC
rnacentral:lncRNA from 1 species